rnacentral:rRNA from 1 species
CCCUUAGAUGUUCUGGGCCGCACGCGUGCUACACUGACCGGCGCAACAAGCUUUUUUCCUUGGCUCGACAGGCCUGGGUAAUCUUCGAACGCCGGUCGUGAUGGGGAUAGAUCCUUGCAAUUUUUGAUCUUCAACGAGGAAUUCCUAGUAAAUGCGAGUCAUCAUCUCGCGUUGAUUACGUCCCUGCCCUUUGUACACACCGCCCGUCGCACCUACCGAUUGAAUGGUCCGGUGAAGCCUCCGGAUUGCAUAGGCCCCGUGUCUGGCGCGAGAAGUUGGCUAAACCUUACCAUUUAGAGGAAGGUGAANUCGUANCA